rnacentral:lncRNA from 10 species
GCAGUUGGUGGACCUGGUCGCGCUGUGCCGGGUGUGACACUACGGUAGGUGUAGGUUAGGAUGUGUCUUCUGGUCGUGGUCUACUAGUUGGGGCCGAGGGAAGAAGAUGACGAUUCCAAUUUCAGUAGCCACUCUCUAGGCUUAUGAACUGAAAGACCAAGGAGCACAAUUUCCGAGUUUCAAAGAUACUUUCAAACUGAAAGGAACUGUUCGCCAGCUGCUCGCGAAGUGGCCCAUGUGACCCCUAGUGAACGGUCUAAACUUCCGCUAGAUGCUUUGGGAAUUCGUAAAGCGACUGCGUGCGCGGCAGCCAAGCCACAGCUUUACAGGGUUCGCCUUCUGUGUGGGAACGCAGCUUUUCCCGAGAAAUUGGGUUAGGGAUUAAAGAGAAGAACUGCAUCCUUUUUACUGCCCUUUUUCCACGUCUGUCCUGGGCUUAGGGCCCUCCUCAGAGGCCAGAGGGGUAGGCGAGUCCGGGGCGGUAGGGGGCUGCGUCCGGAAGUCCAGGCUGCGUUCUGUCCACCCUGCCCACCCUUAGGGGGCAGGACAGGAAUAAGGUCACCUCACCAAAGAGGCCCAUCAACAUGGAAGAAUAUUUCAGUGAAUCUUGACUCACCAAGCUCAGUGACUUUUCAUUGAAAAGGGUGAGAAUUAUUAAGGAGAUAUUGCACAAUUAAUGUUCAUGUCAAGUUUGAAAAAAAAAUUAUUCUUAAAGCAGCUAGGAAGAUAUUUGUAAAAUGACGCCUGAAAAACUUUCAUGUCUGCCGGACGUUAUAUGAGAAAUACUUGAGUGUUGUUAGUUUUCUAUUGCUGCAUAACGAAUUACCACAAAUCAGUGGCUUCAAAACACCUAUUCGUUUUCUCAGUCCUGUAGGUCAGAAGUCUGGACGUGGCAUAGUUGACGGUUUUGCUCAGUCACACAAGGUUGAAAUCAAAGGGUCUGCAAGUGGGAUCUCAUCUGAGGUUUGGGGUCCUUCUAAGCCCUCUGGCAGAAUUUCGUUGUGGUUGUUGGACUGAGGUCCCUUUUUGUCUCGCCAGCUGUUGGCCAGAGGCCAGCUGUGUGUCAGCUAGACCUUUUACAGGCCUUCUAACACUUCCCAUCUUCGUGGCUUUCGGGAGCCCCCAGCCCCUUUUAAAGGCUCACCUGAUUAAGUAAGACUCAGUCAGAUCUCCCUUUUGAUGAACCUAGUCCCAGAAGUGAUAUCUGCUCAUAUUUGUAGGUUCUACCCAAACUCCAGGGGAGGGGAUUAUGUAGAUGCGCUCUCUAGGGGCCAGGAAUGUGGGGAACUAGCUUAGAAUUCUGCCUGUACAGCGUUGUAUAUAUCAUGUUUCGAUUAGUUGGAAGAGUAAGGCAUGGGUGUGAUAGGUAACAGGUUGACUUGACCCAGUAAAAUUUUUUUCCUUAAAUCCUUUAAUCUCUGUGUGUGUAUAAAUCACAAUCUUUGAUAUGAAGAGCAAUGUCAGGGAAAGUGAGGAGUAAAGAAGCAAGGGAGUUGGAUAUCCUUCACCCCUUCCACUGGGAGCUUGGGUAGAGCUAGAAUUUUGGCGUCACGCUGGUAGACCAUGGUGCCCAUGUCUUUCCACAUAAAAACUCCCUCUCUUUCUAAGGAAUUUUAUGUUAAAACUCAGCACUUUAGGAAAGGUUUUCUUGAGUUUCAUGAUGAUGUGCUUUUUAAGUUACCUGAAGCUACACAUAAUUGUUAGUAUAACCUGGAAAUUCUAGAAAUUAAAAGGCUGGCACAAUUACGAUUUUUCUAUGUACAGAGGAAGUACUAAAUAUCUGUACUCUAUGAGGAGACAUAAGACAUGAGGUUUAGAAGGAAUGGUCUGUGUCUUUUGAGGAGUUUGUAGUCUACUUUGGUUUAAAUAUUUAUACUUUUUUUUUAAAGGAAAAUUGGAAGCUCAUGAGUUUGGCCUUAUCUGGUUUCUGCCUGCCUGGGAAGCCCCCUAUCAGAUUACUUUCCUCAUCUGUCUGCUUCUUUCAGUAACUUGGCCCUCCAAUGUUCUUUUCCACCUUAGUGCUUUCCAUAAUGUAUAUUCCUUCUCUACCUAGAAAUUUCAUUUUAUCUGCUCAGAUUCCUAAUUAUAUUCACACUCUUUCUUAACUUAAAUGUUACUUUGCUUAAAGACAUUUUCCUUGGCCCUUCAGACUGUAUAAGGACCUCUCUGAAGUAUUUUCAUAGCAUCUCAUAGUGCUAUUUCAGAGCAUUUAUUUUAUUGUAA